AUACAGAGGGUGCGAGCGUUAAUCGGAAUUACUGGGCGUAAAGCGCGCGUAGGCGGCUUGGUCAGUCGGAUGUGAAAGCCCUGGGCUCAACCUGGGAAUUGCAUUCGAUACUGCCAAGCUAGAGCAUGGGAGAGGGAAGUGGAAUUUCCGGUGUAGCGGUGAAAUGCGUAGAUAUCGGAAAGAACACCAGUGGCGAAGGCGACUUCCUGGCCCAAUACUGACGCUGAGGUGCGAAAGCGUGGGGAGCGAACAGGAUUAGAUACCCUAGUAGUCC
rnacentral:rRNA from 1 species